AGAGUUUGAUCAUGGCUCAGAUUGAACGCUGGCGGCAGGCCUAACACAUGCAAGUCGAACGGUAACAUUUCUAGCUUGCUAGAAGAUGACGAGUGGCGGACGGGUGAGUAAUGCUUGGGAACUUGCCUUUGCGAGGGGGAUAACAGUUGGAAACGACUGCUAAUACCGCAUAAUGUCUUCGGACCAAACGGGGCUUYGGCUCCGGCGCAAAGAGAGGCCCAAGUGAGAUUAGCUAGUUGGUAAGGUAACGGCUUACCAAGGCGACGAUCUCUAGCUGUUCUGAGAGGAAGAUCAGCCACACUGGGACUGAGACACGGCCCAGACUCCUACGGGAGGCAGCAGUGGGGAAUAUUGCACAAUGGGGGAAACCCUGAUGCAGCCAUGCCGCGUGUGUGAAGAAGGCCUUCGGGUUGUAAAGCACUUUCAGUUGUGAGGAAAAGUUAGUAGUUAAUACCUGCUAGCCGUGACGUUAACAACAGAAGAAGCACCGGCUAACUCCGUGCCAGCAGCCGCGGUAAUACGGAGGGUGCGAGCGUUAAUCGGAAUUACUGGGCGUAAAGCGCACGCAGGCGGUUUGUUAAGCUAGAUGUGAAAGCCCCGGGCUCAACCUGGGAUGGUCAUUUAGAACUGGCAGACUAGAGUCUUGGAGAGGGGAGUGGAAUUCCAGGUGUAGCGGUGAAAUGCGUAGAUAUCUGGAGGAACAUCAGUGGCGAAGGCGACUCCCUGGCCAAAGACUGACGCUCAUGUGCGAAAGUGUGGGUAGCGAACAGGAUUAGAUACCCUGGUAGUCCACACCGUAAACGCUGUCUACUAGCUGUGUGUGCCUUUAAGGCGUGCGUAGCGAAGCUAACGCGUUAAGUAGACCGCCUGGGGAGUACGGCCGCAAGGUUAAAACUCAAAGGAAUUGACGG
rnacentral:rRNA from 1 species